AUAGGACCAUAAGCCCCCUUGAUGGGCAGUCGAUGGAAGGAAUUCCAAGUGAAAGGAUUUGUCAGGAAACUGAUUUUGAAUCUCAUGAUAAAACUGUGAAAUGUACAGAGGUGUUUUAUCUUCUUAAAGAUCGUGAACCUGCCACUGCAACCGCUCACUUUCAGUUUGCUAAAGAAAUGGCUACGGCUUGUGGAGCUGCCUUAUGUCUGCAUAUUAACUUUGAACAGUGGAAUGAACAAGAUAGGACUGCGCGUCUACAUGGAUAUUGACAUGGUGGAGUAUCUGGCAGGAUCGGGGGGACAGCCUCUCCCACAACUCUACUUGAAUGACCUAGAUAGUGCCCUGAUCCCAGUCAUUCACAACAGGACAUCAGACACGAGCAUUUUACCUCUGGUGAUGGAACUGAUCUUUCACUUGAUAGAGAGCCUCAGUUAGUGUGCGCCUCCACUGCACGGUGGUAUCUGCAUGGGGGCUGGCACAGUCACUGAAAAUUUGGUAAAAUAAUCAAUCAACAGAUUUAUGAAAGUAAAUGCUUAUAGACAGAUUAUUAUAUUCUUUUAUGCAAACCAGCU